rnacentral:rRNA from 1 species
CCUGCCCCAUGCCGGGGGAUAACAGCUGGAAACGGCUGCUAAUACCGCAUAAGCGCACAGAGCUGCAUGGCUCGGUGUGAAAAACUCCGGUGGUAUGGGAUGGGCCCGCGUCUGAUUAGGCAGUUGGCGGGGUAACGGCCCACCAAACCGACGAUCAGUAGCCGGCCUGAGAGGGCGACCGGCCACAUUGGGACUGAGACACGGCCCAAACUCCUACGGGAGGCAGCAGUGGGGAAUAUUGCACAAUGGGGGAAACCCUGAUGCAGCGACGCCGCGUGAGCGAAGAAGUAUUUCGGUAUGUAAAGCUCUAUCAGCAGGGAAGAUAAUGACGGUACCUGACUAAGAAACCCCGGCUAACUACGUGCCAGCAGCCGCGGUAAUACGUAGGGGGCAAGCGUUAUCCGGAUUUACUGGGUGUAAAGGGAGCGUAGACGGCAAGGCAAGUCUGAUGUGAAAACCCAGGGCUUAACCCUGGGACUGCAUUGGAAACUGUCUGGCUCGAGUGCCGGAGAGGUAAGCGGAAUUCCUAGUGUAGCGGUGAAAUGCGUAGAUAUUAGGAAGAACACCAGUGGCGAAGGCGGCUUACUGGACGGUAACUGACGUUGAGGCUCGAAAGCGUGGGGAGCAAACAGGAUUAGAUACCCUGGUAGUCCACGCUGUAAACGAUGAAUGCUAGGUGUUGGGGAGCAAAGCUCUUCGGUGCCGCCG